rnacentral:rRNA from 1 species
AUUGAACGCUGGCGGCAGGCCUAACACAUGCAAGUCGAACGAGUGGCGGACGGGUGAGUAAUGUCUGGGACACUGCCUGAUGGAAGGGGAUAAAUACUGGAAACGGUAGCUAAUACCGCAUCCCAUCGGAUGUGGCCAGAUGGGAUUAGCUGGUAGGUGGGGUAAUGGCUUACCUAGGCGGCGAUCCCUAGCUGGUCUGAGAGGACGACCGGCCACACUGGGACUGAGACACGGUCCAGACUCCUACGGGAGGCAGCAGUGGGGAAUAUUGGGCAAUGGGCGCAAGCCUGAUGCAGCCAUGCCGCGUGUGUGAAGAAGGCCUUCGGAUUGUAAAGUACUGUCGGCGGGGAGGCGGUACCCGCAGAAGAAGCACCGGCUAACUACGUGCCAGCAGCCGCGGUAAUUC